UACGGGGGGAGCAAGCGUUGUUCGGAUUUACUGGGCGUAAAGGGCGCGUAGGCGGCGCAACAAGUCACUUGUGAAAUCUCCGGGCUUAACCCGGAGCGGCCAAGUGAUACUGUCGUGCUAGAGUGCGGAAGGGGCUACUGGAAUUCUCGGUGUAGCGGUGAAAUGCGUAGAUAUCGAGAGGAACACCUGCGGCGAAGGCGGGUAGCUGGGCCGACACUGACGCUGAUGCGCGAAAGCGUGGGGAGCAAACAGG
rnacentral:rRNA from 1 species